AUUGAACGCUGGCGGCAGGCCUAACACAUGCAAGUCGAGCGGUAGAGAGGUGCUUGCAUCUCUUGAGAGCGGCGGACGGGUGAGUAAUGCCUAGGAAUCUGCCUAGUGUGGGGGAUAACGUUCGGAAACGGACGCUAAUACCGCAUACGUCCUACGGGAGAAAGCGGGGGAUCUUCGGACCUCGCGCCAUUAGAUGAGCCUAGGUCGGAUUAGCUAGUUGGUGAGGUAAUGGCUCACCAAGGCGACGAUCCGUAACUGGUCUGAGAGGAUGAUCAGUCACACUGGAACUGAGACACGGUCCAGACUCCUACGGAGGCAGCAGUGGGGAAUAUUGGACAAUGGCGAAGACCUGAUCCAGCAAUGCCGCGUGCAGGAUGAAGGCCUCGG
rnacentral:rRNA from 1 species